ensembl:lncRNA
UGUUGGCCGUAUUUUCACAUGCUUAUUGGCAGUAAUUGGUGCAUGUUCUACUCUGAAGUGCAGUUUCAAUCCAUAUUCAUUUUUGGUUGGGGUGUUUGCUUCAGGGUAACUGAACUUAAGGUUCUUUAUAUCUUCUUCAUAGAAAGACUUUGUCAGAUAUGUGCAUAGCAAACUUUUCCUAUUACUCUGUGGGCUAUCAUUUUGCUUUCUUACUGGUAGAGUCUUUAGAGAAGCAGGUAUUAAAGACUUUGACCAAUAAAUAGGCUUUGUUGAUUUUUCCAUCCACUGUUCAUGUGUUUUCUUUCCUAAGGACUUCUGCUUUUUACAAGGGCAUAGGGUAGUCUAAGAGACCCCUAAAUACUAUGGGGUAUUGCUCUUGACCUUGUUUGCCUUCCAGAAAAAGAAGGUAAAUCCCUGUUGCUGAAGAUACCACACUUUGGAUGUAAAACUUGGAAGACUCUACCUGCAUUUCAACAGAAAGCCUCCUCCCUGAUGACUACGUAUCUUAGUACUGGAAGGAGCCAUUCAAGCUGCCAAGAUCCUCACAAAUGACCCAGCCCUCCUCCCCAGCCUGUCCUUUUGUGUCAGCUGCCACUACUUGGAAUUACUCUACCUGGGAACCUGCUGCUCACAUCAGCCUGGCAAUCAGAAGGAUCCGAGUGUCCUGCGUGUAUUUCUUGCCGGCCGAGAAAAUACAGAGCGUGCGCGGGACAUAUGGUGCCGAAACCCGGGAAAUUUGUGAACAUCUCCGGCACCGCGGAGACCCCUUGGCUACAGGGCGGAUUCAGAACUGCAGGGUGGUAAAUUCGGAGAGGUAUGUUUUUUCUGGACUUUGGCUUGGGAAUGUUGCUAUUGUGGGAGGUUAAUAUAGAGGCUUCUAUGCUUUUACUAGGAGCUAUUUUGACUUUUCUCACUGUUGUAGCAAUCUUAAAGAAGUCCAGAAUUACAUAUCAGAAACCGAAUGUGGUGAGAGAUGGGGCGCGCCUAACAAUAAAAUAUAAGAAAAAAGGACCUCCCGGGAUGUCUAGUGACAAGGGAGUGAAUAAUUUGUUAAGAAAAACAACAACAAAUAAGAAAAAAGGACCUCCUGGGAUGUCUACUGACAAGGGAGUGAAUAAUUUGUUAGAUGAUUCUGUAAAUAAGUUUAAAGCUUUAAAUCUUGAUAGCUCUGAUGACUCUAAAAGCUCAAGAGAUAAAGUUUUAGAGGAAACAGCUCAGCUAGAUAAAAAGGAAACAAAAAAGGAGGGAGAGAAAAUAGGGAAUAACCGGUCACACCCCGGUAAAUUUAAGAGAAAUAAAGACUCAAAACCUAGCCUCUGCCCUACAAUGAAACUAGAGGCCUUGGAGCUGAGCAGCUCAGACUCUGAGAUUUUAGACUCUAGCAAGGAAACAGAGCUAGAGGAGGAGACAGCACGAUACCACCCCGAUAGAUAUCGGCUGCCAAAAGUGAAAACAAAUAUGAGGCCAUCGCCUAUUAAUCCAGCGGGUGUGCUUCCAUCAGCACCCCCACUAUUUGGUACCGACUCCUUUUUACCAUCAGAGGAGCGGAGAAAAUUGCAGAUGGCUUUCCCAGUCUUUGAUAGGGGAAAAGGCCAUGCCUGCUAUUCAACACUUCUUAAAGGCCUGGAAUGCCUGGGGCUUUAAAGCCUCAUAAACAUUAACGCUGGGGGCCAUACCGCGGCCAAGCGUCU